CUUCUCAAUAUGCAUGACAUCCAGAUUGUGGUGUAAGAGAAGAUCCUUCCAAUAGGGUAGCUCCUAAAAUAUACUCUUCUUAUGCCAAUUGUGAGAGACACCAUACCCAUCAGACAUAUUUCUAGGAACAUGCCAAUUUCCUCCAACUUUAACUGUUUCCUGAGCUCUGUAAUAAUCAAUGUCUGCUUCGAUCUGCUGGCCGGUGAGAUAUGGAGGAGGACCGUCUCUGACAAUUUUUUUGUGCCGAAACAAUGUCUUAUUUCUUUUGUACGGAUGGGAAAGUGGAAGAAAGCGACGAUGACAAUCAAACCAACAACUCUUCCUACCAUUCUUCAGUUGAAAAGCAUCCGUCGAUUCAAGACAAUAUGGACAAGAUAAUCUUCCAUGUGUUGUUCAGCCAGACAACAUCCCAUAAGUAGGGAAAUCACUUAUCGUCCACAGCAGAACUGCUCGCAUCGUAAAAUUGUUUUUCAAAGAACAAUCGUACGUCCUCACCCCUUCUGACCACAAUUGCU
rnacentral:lncRNA from 1 species